rnacentral:rRNA from 1 species
GACGAACGCAGGCGGCGUGCCUAAUACAUGCAAGUAGAACGCUGAAGGAGGAGCUUGCUUCUCUGGAUGAGUUGCGAACGGGUGAGUAACGCGUAGGUAACAUGCCUGGUAGCGGGGGAUAACUAUUGGAAACGAUAGCUAAUACCGCAUAAGAGUAGAUGUUGCAUGACAUUUGCUUAAAAGGUGCAAUUGCAUCACUACCAGAUGGACAUGCGUUGUAUUAGCUAGUUGGUGGGGUAACGGCUCACCAAGGCGACGAUACAUAGCCGACCUGAGAGGGUGAUCGGCCACACUGGGACUGAGACACGGCCCAGACUCCUACGGGAGGCAGCAGUAGGGAAUCUUCGGCAAUGGACGGAAGUCUGACCGAGCAACGCCGCGUGAGUGAAGAAGGUUUUCGGAUCGUAAAGCUCUGUUGUAAGAGAAGAACGAGUGUGAGAGUGGAAAGUUCACACUGUGACGGUAUCUUACCAGAAAGGGACGGCUAACUACGUGCCAGCAGCCGCGGUAAUACGUAGGUCCCGAGCGUUGUCCGGAUUUAUUGGGCGUAAAGCGAGCGCAGGCGGUUAGAUAAGUCUGAAGUUAAAGGCUGUGGCUUAACCAUAGUACGCUUUGGAAACUGUUUAACUUGAGUGCAAGAGGGGAGAGUGGAAUUCCAUGUGUAGCGGUGAAAUGCGUAGAUAUAUGGAGGAACACCGGUGGCGAAAGCGGCUCUCUGGCUUGUAACUGACGCUGAGGCUCGAAAGCGUGGGGAGCAAACAGG